UACAGAGGUCCCAAGCGUUGUUCGGAUUCACUGGGCGUAAAGGGUGCGUAGGUGGCGAGGUAAGUCGGAUGUGAAAUCUCAGGGCUCAACCCUGAAACUGCAUUCGAUACUGCCUUGCUCGAGGACUGGAGAGGAGAUUGGAAUUCACGGUGUAGCAGUGAAAUGCGUAGAUAUUGUGAGGAAGACCAGUGGCGAAGGCGGAUCUCUGGACAGUUCCUGACACUGAGGCACGAAGGCCAGGGGAGCAAACGGG
rnacentral:rRNA from 1 species